UACGGGGGGAGCAAGCGUUGUUCGGAUUUACUGGGCGUAAAGGGCGCGUAGGCGGUCGUGACAAGUCACUUGUGAAAUCUCCGGGCUUAACUCGGAACGGUCAAGUGAUACUGUCGGACUAGAGUGUGGUAGGGGAGACUGGAAUUCCUGGUGUAGCGGUGAAAUGCGCAGAUAUCAGGAGGAACACCGAUGGCGAAGGCAGGUCUCUGGGCCACUACUGACGCUGAGAAGCGAAAGCAUGGGGAGCGAACAGG
rnacentral:rRNA from 1 species